rnacentral:rRNA from 1 species
AAUAUUGGUCAAUGGACGCAAGUCUGAACCAGCCAUGGCGCGUGAAGGAUGAAGGUCCUCUGGAUUGUAAACUUCUUUUAUCUGGGACGAAAACGGGAUUUUUAUCUCAAUUGACGGUACCAGAGGAAUAAGCACCGGCUAACUCAGUGCCAGCAGCAGCGGUAAUACGGAGGGUGCAAGCGUUAUCCGGAUUCACUGGGUUUAAAGGGUGCGUAGGCGGAUUGGGAGGUCCGUGGUGAAAUCCCCGAGCUUAACUCGGGAACUGCCGUGGAUACUCUCAGUCUUGAAUAUCGUGAGGUAAGCGGAAUAUGUCAUGUCGCUGUGAAAUGCGUAGAGGUGACAUAGACCACCAGGUGCGAAGGCCGCUUACUACACG